CACCACAUUGGCUUAGAACAGGGCUGGCUCAACCAUAGGGCAGAGUGAGACAGGACAGUUGAUUAUGGGUGUCAUGAAAGAGCAGAAGACUGGUGCUUUAAAAACUUCUUAUUACAAUAUUUUUACUUAUGGGAAGAGAUGCUUAUGGGAUUUUUCUGCGGCAAGUGCCAAAAUUCCUUGGUCAGCCUUGGCUGCUAUGCAGCUCUUUGAGUGAAGGGGUGUCCUUUUCUUGUUCUGCCUCAGGCAGCCAAAUGUCUUGGGAUGGCCUUAUAUCUAAUGCAUGUGAAAUAAUGUGUGUGGACAGAGCAUAACUGUGCUCUGCGUUGCUUCCAUCCAGUAGUGUUGUGGCAAAUUCAGAAGUGCAGCAUCCCUUCAUGAUGCUCACACUAUUGACCCCUCAUAGCCACCCCCUUCUAAGAUUAUACAGUAAUCUUAUAAUUUUACAAUUAUGCAAUAAUAAUAAUUAGGAGUGCAUUGCAACCAUCAGUGCAGAUCUCACAUGCUGCCAUUCAGCUAGAUCUGCUAUUUUCUGUGCAAGUACAUGGGCACGUACAUGAUUUGGAGGGCUGCAAUACCUUCUUUCGGAGCGACUCAGGUUGUGUUUUCUCUGAAGCUCAAUUGUAUGUCGCAGAACUUGUAUCCCGGUCACUUGAAACUGAAGCCCCUUGUGUUUUCGGUGUUCCUAAAUGCUGUGCUUUGGAGCAUAUGGUAGUAGCUAAAAAGUGCACCUAUUAUGCUGAUUGGGUGACUCUAGGAUGCUGGAGAGAGGGACCCUACUGCAGAAAUAGCAAUGAGUCUUAUGCCCCCCAUGUUCCCAGACCACCACACCACUGUUUCCAUCUCAUCUCCCAGAAUCAUCUGUAUGAAAUAUGGGCAGGCUUUUUGCUAGUUGGAUCAACUGCUUGCUAAAACUCAGGACUGUAAGGAGGCAGCGAUUCCUGUCCUCCUGAUCGUCCCAAUUAGCUACAGUUUGUCUUCCACUUAAACCUACAUCUUGCUAUCUGCUAUGGCCAACACUAAUGUAGUUAAUAAUGUAAUCGAUUUCUGUGAAUUUCAAUGGAAGGAAAAUGUCAAAAACCAUGCGGAAAGUAAUGCCAUUAUUUCUGUGCUCGUUCACAGACAAAGAAGAGAACAAUAGUGAAUACCACAUGGGUUCGCUUGUGUGGCUUCUUUUCCUGGCCUUGGAUGGACAUGCCAAUGGCAGCAAUUUCCCCUCCCGUUUCCAUUUCUGAUGGAAUUCACUGACGGACCUACAGUAAAACUCCCA